ACUUAAUAAAUAAAUUGGCUUAUUUUGUAGUUUUACUGAUUUAGUGUUGUCCAAACCCGCAAUGUAGGGAUUAUAGCGCGCAAAAUUCGUGCCAAUGCCCUACCUACGACGCGGCAUUGAUUCCGAGUGGCCUACUUACGCAACGUUCGUUGACCUCUAGCGUCAGUCAGAUGUUUUAUUUGCAAUAUAUUGUGAACUUUUAAAAAAUACAGGAUUUUUAAUUUUUUUUUCGCGGUUUAUUUGUGGUCUCAUAUCAGUAAUCAUCGGUACUAUCACCUGUCUUCGUUUUUGCUAGCGUUUCGUUUACACCCUGUAAAUUAAUACUAGCUGAUGCCCGCGACUUCGUUCGCGUGGAU